GAGCGCGAGAGAGAGAGAGAGAGACAAAAAAGGGACGGGGGGAGGAAGAGUCAUGCCGUUGCUGCGUCUGACGAAUCACAGGAAAGGGGCAACAUUUUAAAAGGUUGCAGGGCAGGCAGAAGUGAAAGAGAAAGAGAGCCAGGAAGAGCAAACGGCUUAUCAUAACAACAGGCAUUCUGCCGCCGAGCAAGCAGGCCUCGGCACAACUCCUGGAGCACACCUCACCAGAGGCAUGAAAGGAACCCAACCCUUCGUCGUCGCCAGCUGCCUUUGCCCUCCACAGCCUUCCGAUGCCGCUCGCGAGGUUCCCCACCCACCCAGCAAAAGGGGCGCUGCGCCGCAGUCCGAAAACACCGGAAGCCAAAUGAAGGCUGGGCUGGUUUGGUUUGGUUUGGUUGUUUUGUUGAUUUGUUUUUAUUUUAAAGAGAAGAAUCCCGGAACCUGACAACAAAAUUCAGAGGGGAGGCACGGCAGAGUUCACUCCAAUGUCAGUCGCCUUUGGCAAAAACGUGGAAGCCAAUCAAAAGACUUGUGCGAGUUUUCCAAAGCUGCCCUGUGUGGCCCAACUUAAAAUAAAUGAAUAAAUACAAUCAAAUAUAAUCAGA